GGGAGGGUGGUCUAGCUUGGUAUGAUACAAUAGCUUAAGCAUCUUGAGCCUUGUUAAAUCGGCUGGGGGCCGAGUGGUCGAGGGUUCGAAUCCCUCCCCUCCCA
rnacentral:tRNA from 1 species